rnacentral:rRNA from 1 species
GAUGAACGCUAGCUACAGGCUUAACACAUGCAAGUCGAGGGGUAACGAGAGGAAAGCUUGCUUUCCUUGUCGACGACCGGCGCACGGGUGAGUAACGCGUAUCCAACCUGCCCCCAACUAGGGAAUAACCUUGCGAAAGUAAGACUAAUACCCUAUAAUUUCCUCAGAUGCCAUCUGACGAGGAAUAAAGAUUUAUCGGUUGUGGAUGGGGAUGCGUCUGAUUAGCUUGUUGGCGGGGUAACGGCCCACCAAGGCAACGAUCAGUAGGGGUUCUGAGAGGAAGGUCCCCCACAUUGGAACUGAGACACGGUCCAAACUCCUACGGGAGGCAGCAGUGAGGAAUAUUGGUCAAUGGGCGGAAGCCUGAACCAGCCAAGUAGCGUGCAGGAUGACGGCCCUAUGGGUUGUAACUGCAUUUAUACAGGAAUAAAGUUAGCCACGUGUGGUUAUUUGUAGGUACUGUAUGAAUAAGGACCGGCUAAUUCCGUGCCAGCCGCCGCGGUAA